UACGUAGGGUGCAAGCGUUAAUCGGAAUUACUGGGCGUAAAGCGUGCGCAGGCGGUGAUGUAAGACAGUUGUGAAAUCCCCGGGCUCAACCUGGGAACUGCAUCUGUGACUGCAUCGCUGGAGUGCGGCAGAGGGGGAUGGAAUUCCGCGUGUAGCAGUGAAAUGCGUAGAUAUGCGGAGGAACACCGAUGGCGAAGGCAAUCCCCUGGGCCUGCACUGACGCUCAUGCACGAAGGCCAGGGGAGCAAACGGG
rnacentral:rRNA from 1 species